CUCUUACCCACGAUGCUAUCAUGCCUUACUGUGCACGUGUGUGAAAAUGCAGAAGUUGAAGUGACUGGCAUGCCAUCUGGUAAAUACGAGAGAGAGGUCCCUUUGGAAACGCCGAGAAAGAGUCGGGGAGGCAGAGGCUUUGAGACAAGGCUCACGUCCCAGCCUGUUGUGGAAUCAGGUCUCACCCCCAAGGAUCUGGAGCCGAGCCCAGUACCGGAGGGGUGUCAGGCUGAGCUGACUGAGGAUGCUGGCACGUCUGAGAUCAGCAGAUGCUGGGACGGAGGACCCCCCACCUGCUAGGAGCGUGAGGCAUCAGGGGCCCAGCCAAACACCACAUUGUUGUGGAAAAGCACUGAACAGCGUCUGCAACGCGAUUAGCUGGUUAGCUCCCCGGGAUCCUCUUUCGUUUGUCUUACGGAGCCCAAUCGUGUGGUUCGGAUGUGCUGGACGCUCCGGCUCCAAUAAAGACAUCAGUGACUGUGAAUAAAUGAACGUU
rnacentral:lncRNA from 1 species